rnacentral:tRNA from 1 species
GGAGACGUAUCGAAGCGGUCAUAACGAGCGCGACUGGAAAUCGCGUUGCCUUAACGGGCACGAGGGUUCAAAUCCCUCCGUCUCCGCCA